UGCCUAAUACAUGCAAGUCGAGCGAACAGACGAGGAGCUUGCUUCUCUGACGUUAGCGGCGGACGGGUGAGUAACACGUGGAUAACCUACCUAUAAGACUGGGAUAACUUCGGGAAACCGGAGCUAAUACCGGAUAAUAUAUUGAACCGCAUGGUUCAAUAGUGAAAGACGGUUUUGCUGUCACUUAUAGAUGGAUCCGCGCCGCAUUAGCUAGUUGGUAAGGUAACGGCUUACCAAGGCAACGAUGCGUAGCCGACCUGAGAGGGUGAUCGGCCACACUGGAACUGAGACACGGUCCAGACUCCUACGGGAGGCAGCAGUAGGGAAUCUUCCGCAAUGGGCGAAAGCCUGACGGAGCAACGCCGCGUGAGUGAUGAAGGUCUUCGGAUCGUAAAACUCUGUUAUUAGGGAAGAACAAAUGUGUAAGUAACUAUGCACGUCUUGACGGUACCUAAUCAGAAAGCCACGGCUAACUACGUGCCAGCAGCCGCGGUAAUACGUAGGUGGCAAGCGUUAUCCGGAAUUAUUGGGCGUAAAGCGCACGUAGGCGGUUUUUUAAGUCUGAUGUGAAAGCCCACGGCUCAACCGUGGAGGGUCAUUGGAAACUGGAAAACUUGAGUGCAGAAGAGGAAAGUGGAAUUCCAUGUGUAGCGGUGAAAUGCGCAGAGAUAUGGAGGAACACCAGUGGCGAAGGCGACUUUCUGGUCUGUAACUGACGCUGAUGUGCGAAA
rnacentral:rRNA from 1 species